AUGGCUGGGGGCAAGGCUGGAGUGACUCUGGGGCAGACGCACCUUUCUCGGCAGAAUCUUGCCACCUUGGAUGUUACCAAGUUGACACCACUAUCACAUGAAGUUAUCAGCAGACAAGCCACAAUUAAUAUAGGUACAAUUGGUCAUGUAGCUCAUGGGAAGUCCACAGUUGUAAAAGCCAUUUCUGAAGUUCACACUGUCAGGUUCAAAAACAAACUAGAAAGAAACAUUACAAUCAAGCUUGGAUAUGCUAAUGCAAAGAUUUAUAAACUUGAUGACCCAAGUUGUCCUCGGCCAGAAUGUUAUAGGUCAUGUGGAAGUAGCACACCUGAUGAGUUUCAUAUAGAUAUUCCAGGGACCAAAGGGAACUUCAGAUUAUCCAGAUUAUUAUUUCCUUUGUUGACUGUCCUGCCCAUGAUAUUUUGAUAGCUACUAUGCUGAAUGGUGCAGCAGUGAUGGAUGCAGCUCUUCCUUUGAUAGCUGGUAAUGAAUCUUGUCCUCAGCCUCAGACUUCUGAACACAUAGCUGCUAUAGAAAUCAUGAAACUGAAGCAUAUUUUGAUUCUACAGAAUAAAAUUGAUUUGUCAGGCUAAAGAACAGCAUUUGUACAAGGUAGCAGAAGGAGUUCCCAGUAUUCCAUUUUCUGCUCAGCUGAAAUACAUUAUUGAAGUCAUCUGUGAGUAUACAUAGUAAAGAAAGUACCAGUACCCCAAGAGACUUUACUUCAGAACCCUGACCUUAUUAUUAGGUCAUUUGAUGUUAACAAGCCUGGUUGUGAAGUUGACGACCUUAAGGGAGGUGUUGCUGGUGGUAGUAUUUAUUCCAAAAGAAGUAUUAAAGGUGGGCCAGGAGAUAGAAGUCAGACCUGGUAUUAUUUCCAAAGACAGUGAAGGAAAACUCAUGUGUAAACCAAUCUUUUCCAAAAUUGUAUCCCUUUUUAUCAAACAUAAUGAUCUUCAGUAUGCUGCUCCAGGGGGUCUUACUGGAGUUGGAACAAAAAUCGUCCCUACUUUGUGCCAUGCUGACAGAAUGGUGGGGCAGGUACUUGGUGCUAUUGGAGCUUUACCUGAGAUUUUUACAGAAUUGGAAAUUUCCUAUUUCCUGCUUAAACGACUUGUAGGUAUACGCACUGAUGGAGAUAAGAAAACAGCAAAAGUCCAAAAACUUUCUAUGAAUGAAGUGCUCAUGGUGAACAUAGGAUCACUGUCAACAGGAGGGAGCGUUAGUGCUGUCAAUGCCGAUUUGGGCAAAAUUGUUUUGACUAAUCCUGUGUGCACAGAAGUAGGAGAAAAGAUUGCCCUUAGCCAAAGAGUUGAGAAACAUUGGUGUUUAAUUGGUAUGGGUCAAGUAAGAGGAGUGACAGUCAAGCCAACCAUAGACGAUGACUAA